UGAGGAAUCUUGCGCAAUGGGGGCAACCCUGACGCAGCAACGCCGCGUGAGUGAAGAAGGCCUUCGGGUCGUAAAGCUCUGUCAAGUGGGAAGAAUAGCCUGAAGACGAAUAAUCUUGAGGUAUGACGGUACCACUGGAGGAAGCACCGGCUAACUCCGUGCCAGCAGCCGCGGUAAUACGGAGGGUGCAAGCGUUAUUCGGAAUUAUUGGGCGUAAAGGGCGUGUAGGCGGCCAGAUAAGUCAGAUGUGAAAGCCCGGGGCUUAACCUCGGAAGUGCAUUUGAAACUGUUUGGCUUGAGUGCGGGAGAGGAAAGCGGAAUUCCCAGUGUAGAGGUGAAAUUCGUAGAUAUUGGGAGGAACACCGGUGGCGAAGGCGGCUUUCUGGACCGACACUGACGCUGAGGCGCGAAAGCGUGGGGAGCAAACAGG
rnacentral:rRNA from 1 species